UAUUUUCGUUCGCGAUGCCGUUCCGGGUUUUUCGGCUAUCUUUUGACCAAAAAUGCGUGACGUCACGUGUUUCUGCGCUUCUCUUUCCUGCGAAGGAAUCAGAUGGCGACGAGAGCGGGCCGUGUGUGGAAGGUUUCUGCCGAAUGCGCUGGUGCCAAGCGUCUUUGGAAUGUCGCCGCUGCUGCUGCUGCUUCUGAGAAGGCGGCUGUAUAAGCGGGGGUAGGUCUGUCCCAAGUCGCCGUCUGUUUCGAGUAGUCAGCUCGGCCGGCCCAGGUCGAUUCGUCCAAUUUCAAAAUGGCCCAAAACUACAAGAGAAAGCGCGAAGACGGCAGUAGCAUCGAGAAAGAGGUCCCUCUGCGUUACAUUUUGGGAUAAUUUUUUCGUCAUUAUGAAUUCAUAUCCAGGGACAA